CAUUAAUCUUAAAUGGUCAAAUCCUAACACAGUAUUACAAAGAUCAAAGGGACUACACAUUGUUUCAAACAACUCUCCCCUACAACAAAAUAACCCAGCCCUAAACCCAAAAUUACAUACAAGGGCAGAAGAGUUAAGGCACUGAAAUUGGCUUUGAGAAAAGGAGAGAGGGCUUAAGCCUUCUUGGGGGACUUGGUGGCC
rnacentral:misc_RNA from 1 species